rnacentral:lncRNA from 1 species
GGUGAUCCUCGUGGGGAGCAUAGCCAGGACCUGAAGAAGAAAGACCACUGAGAGGACGACUGCAAUUGCCCUCAUGAGAUUCUUUUCCAGACACAUGGUGGGUUUGGAGUGAGGAAGAAGAGUUAUGGCUGCUAUCUGUAUAAUAGAGAGAGUGAAGCCGAGGGUGGUAAAGAAAUGAAAGAUGAAAAGUGCAUAUUCAUUGGUGAUAGUUGGAGGAUGAGAAGCAUUCAUGAUGGUCAUAUUAACAACGCCCAUUGUCACUGCUACAAAAGGCGUAAGACAUCUUUUUAUGGCCACCCCAUCAUCGUUGCGGUUUGAUUGGUUUUCAGCAGGAGCAUAGUCAUCCUUUUCAGUUGCCAAAUCACCGUUGGACUUUGGCGGUGAAUGGCCGGGAGCUCGAAUUUCU